UACGUAGGGGGCAAGCGUUGUCCGGAAUCAUUGGGCGUAAAGAGCGUGUAGGCGGUUCGGUAAGUCGGCUGUGAAAGUCCAGGGCUCAACCCUGGGAUGCCGGUCGAUACUGCCGGACUAGAGUUCGAAGAGGCGAGUGGAAUUCCCGGUGAUCGAGCGGUGGAAAUGACGCAGAUAUCGGGAGGAACACCUAUGGCGAAGGCAGCUCGCUGGGACGUUACUGACGCUGAGACGCGAAAGCGUGGGGAGCAAACAGG
rnacentral:rRNA from 1 species